GUACUUGCUUCGGCAGUACACAUACUAAAAUUGGAACGAUACAGAGAAUAUUAGCAUGGCCCCUGCGCAAGGAUGACACGCAAAAUCGUGAAGCGUUCCACAUUUUG
rnacentral:snRNA from 13 species